rnacentral:rRNA from 1 species
CGCUAUCACUCCUACGGGAGGCAGCAGUGGGGAAUAUUGCACAAUGGGCGCAAGCCUGAUGCAGCCAUGCCGCGUGUGUGAAGAAGGCCUUCGGUUGUUAAAGCACUUUCAGCAGUGAGGAAGGCGGAGUCGUUAAUAGCGGCCUCGUUUGACGUUAGCUGCAGAAGAAGCACCGGCUAACUCCGUGCCAGCAGCCGCGGUAAUACGGAGGGUGCGAGCGUUAAUCGGAAUUACUGGGCGUAAAGCGCAUGCAGGCGGCCUGUUAAGUCAGAUGUGAAAGCCCGGGGCUUAACCUCGGAAUUGCAUUUGAAACUGGCAGGCUAGAGUCUUGUAGAGGGGGUAGAAUUUCAGGUGUAGCGGUGAAAUGCGUAGAGAUCUGAAGGAAUACCAGUGGCGAAGGCGGCCCCCUGGACAAAGACUGACGCUCAGAUGCGAAAGCGUGGGGAGCAAACAGGAUUAGAUACCCUGGUAG